AAUGGAGAGUUUGAUCCUGGCUCAGGAUGAACGCUGGCGGCGUGCCUAAUACAUGCAAGUCGGACGCAAUGCUUCGGCAUUGAGUGGCGAACGGGUGAGUAAGACAUAAGCAACCUGCCCCUGUGAGGGGGAUAACUGCUGGAAACGGCAGCUAAGACCGCAUAGGCAUAGAGGACGCAUGUCGACUAUGUUAAAUAUCCCACGGGAUAGCACAGGGAUGGGCUUAUGACGCAUUAGCCAGCUGGUGAGGUAACGGCUCACCAGGGCGACGAUGCGUAGCCGGCCUGAGAGGGUGGACGGCCACACUGGGACUGAGACACGGCCCAGACUCCUACGGGAGGCAGCAGUAGGGAAUUUUCGGCAAUGGGCGAAAGCCUGACCGAGCAACGCCGCGUGAAGGAAGAAGUCAUUCGUGAUGUAAACUUCUGUUAUGAAGGAAGAACGGCAGAUGGAGGGAAUGCCAUGUGCGUGACGGUACUUCAUGAGGAAGCCACGGCUAACUACGUGCCAGCAGCCGCGGUAAUACGUAGGUGGCGAGCGUUAUCCGGAAUCAUUGGGCGUAAAGAGGGAGCAGGCGGCAGUGCAGGUCUGCGGUGAAAGACCGGAGCUAAACUUCGGUAAGCCGUGGAAACCGCACAGCUAGAGAGCAUCAGAGGAUCGCGGAAUUCCAUGUGUAGCGGUGAAAUGCGUAGAUAUAUGGAGGAACACCAGUGGCGAAGGCGGCGGUCUGGGGUGCAGCUGACGCUCAGUCCCGAAAGCGUGGGGAGCAAAUAGGAUUAGAUACCCUAGUAGUCCACGCCGUAAACGAUGAGUGCUAAGUGUUGGGGGUCAGACCUCAGUGCUGGAGUUAACGCAAUAAGCACUCCGCCUGAGUAGUACGUUCGCAAGAAUGAAACUCAAAGGAAUUGACGGGGGCCCGCACAAGCGGUGGAGCAUGUGGUUUAAUUCGAAGCAACGCGAAGAACCUUACCAGGUCUUGACAUGGAGAUAAAGGCCCUGGAGACAGGGAGAUAGAUAUAUCUCACACAGGUGGUGCAUGGUUGUCGUCAGCUCGUGUCGUGAGAUGUUGGGUUAAGUCCCGCAACGAGCGCAACCCCUGUUGCCAGUUGCCAGCAUUAGGUUGGGGACUCUGGCGAGACUGCCUCUGCAAGGAGGAGGAAGGCGGGGAUGACGUCAAAUCAUCAUGCCCCUUAUGACCUGGGCUACACACGUGCUACAAUGGACGGAUCAGAGGGAGGCGAAGCCGCGAGGUGGAGCGAAACCCAGAAACCCGUUCACAGUUCGGACUGCAGUCUGCAACUCGACUGCACGAAGCUGGAAUCGCUAGUAAUCGCGAAUCAGCAUGUCGCGGUGAAUACGUUCUCGGGCCUUGUACACACCGCCCGUCACACCAUGAGAGUUGGUAACACCCGAAGCCGGUGGCCCAACCGCAAGGAGGGAGCUGUCUAAGGUGGGACUGAUGAUUGGGGUGAAGUCGUAACAAGGUAUCCCUACGGGAACGUGGGGAUGGAUCACCUCCUUUCUAGGGAGA
rnacentral:rRNA from 1 species